GAUGAACGCUGGCGGCGUGCCUAAUACAUGCAAGUCGAGCGAACGGACGAGAAGCUUGCUUCUCUGAUGUUAGCGGCGGACGGGUGAGUAACACGUGGAUAACCUACCUAUAAGACUGGGAUAACUUCGGGAAACCGGAGCUAAUACCGGAUAAUAUUUUGAACCGCAUGGUUCAAAAGUAAAAGACGGUCUUGCUGUCACUUAUAGAUGGAUCCGCGCUGCAUUAGCUAGUUGGUAAGGUAACGGCUUACCAAGGCAACGAUGCAUAGCCGACCUGAGAGGGUGAUCGGCCACACUGGAACUGAGACACGGUCCAGACUCCUACGGGAGGCAGCAGUAGGGAAUCUUCCGCAAUGGGCGAAAGCCUGACGGAGCAACGCCGCGUGAGUGAUGAAGGUCUUCGGAUCGUAAAACUCUGUUAUUAGGGAAGAACAUAUGUGUAAGGAACUGUGCACAUCUUGACGGUACCUAAUCAGAAAGCCACGGCUAACUACGUG
rnacentral:rRNA from 1 species